UAAAAGCACGUGAAGCCGUUGAAAGGGAAACGCGCUCGGCUAGCAAUGUGCCGCGGUGGUUCAGCCGGUUUGGCGGUGGAGCUCGCGUCUGUCGGAUCCGAAUGGACCGCAGCCGCGCGGCCGUCCGCUGUCGGACUGCGGUGCACUCUACCGUGGCACGCGUCAGCGUCGGUUGGCAGCCGGCGACAAGGCCAGCAGGAAGGUAGCUCGGAGCUUGCUGCGAGUAUUAUAGCCCGCUGUGCUGGGUCUGCUGCCGACCGAGGAGAGAGAUGAUCGCUGCAGCGCAUGCCGCAAGGCUAGCUGCCCGCUGUUCGGUGUGCUGCACGAGCUGAGGACUGCACGCAGUGUUCGGUUCGGCGCGGUGGCCGGACGGUGGAGUGGUAUAAAUGCGCUUCGGACGCUGGCGUCCAAAUGGCCGUGCGCGA
rnacentral:rRNA from 1 species